rnacentral:tRNA from 1 species
GGCGGGGUAGCUCAGUUGGCUAGAGCGUGCGGUUCAUACCCGCGAGGUUCUGAGUUCGAAUCUCAGCCCCGCUA